AUUUCCUACGCAGCACUUCUAGUCGUUCACUGUCAAAGAAUGUCGACAUUUCCAUGUUAAUUUUUCCCUCUCAAGUGGGACUGCGUGGGAUGAUAAGCGAAGCUAUAUAUAAAAGCUACGAAGGAUAAACAAGUACAGCAAAGAGAGAUAUAUAAAUCUUCAAAAUGAAAUCCC